AGAGUUUGAUCCUGGCUCAGAACGAACGCUGGCGGCAGGCCUAACACAUGCAAGUCGAGCGAUCCUUUCGGGGAUAGCGGCGGACGGGUGAGUAACGCGUGGGAAUGUGCCCUUCUCUACGGAAUAGCCUCGGGAAACUGGGAGUAAUACCGUAUACGCCCCUUGGGGGAAAGAUUUAUCGGAGAAGGAUCAGCCCGCGUUGGAUUAGGUAGUUGGUGGGGUAAUGGCCUACCAAGCCUACGAUCCAUAGCUGGUUUGAGAGGAUGAUCAGCCACACUGGGACUGAGACACGGCCCAGACUCCUACGGGAGGCAGCAGUGGGGAAUCUUAGACAAUGGGGGCAACCCUGAUCUAGCCAUGCCGCGUGAGUGAUGAAGGCCUUAGGGUUGUAAAGCUCUUUCAGCUGGGAAGAUAAUGACGGUACCAGCAGAAGAAGCCCCGGCUAACUCCGUGCCAGCAGCCGCGGUAAUACGGAGGGGGCUAGCGUUGUUCGGAAUUACUGGGCGUAAAGCGCACGUAGGCGGACCAGAAAGUUGGGGGUGAAAUCCCGGGGCUCAACCUCGGAACUGCCUUCAAAACUAUUGGUCUGGAGUUCGAGAGAGGUGAGUGGAAUUCCGAGUGUAGAGGUGAAAUUCGUAGAUAUUCGGAGGAACACCAGUGGCGAAGGCGGCUCACUGGCUCGAUACUGACGCUGAGGUGC
rnacentral:rRNA from 1 species